AGAGGAUCUAAUGUGUGUGCUUACGGAAUGUAGUGUAUAGGGAUACCAGUUUGUGUAGGUGAUGCAGUGUUGUUUGUGUAAGGGAUAGAAAGCAGUGAGUGUUUGUGUAUAAGGGAUGUAUUGUGUGUUUCUUGUUGUGUGUAAGGGAUGCAUUGUGUGAAUCUGUGUUUGUAUGCAUAAGGGAUGCAAAGUGUGUAUGUAAGGGAUGCAGUGUGUGUGUCUGUAAGGGGUGUGUUGAGUGUGUGUAAGAGAUGCAUUGUGUUUCUG
rnacentral:lncRNA from 1 species